rnacentral:piRNA from 1 species
UUUAAUCACAGCACUAGGGAA